UGGUGCUAUGACACAUAUGCUACACGUGCGC
rnacentral:piRNA from 1 species